GCACUCCAGCCUGGGCGACAGAGCGAGACUCCGUCUCAAGAUAAACAAAAAAACAAAAACAAAAGAAAACAAAAAAAAAAACCUGCAUUCUCUGGAGACCCAUCUGAUGAAGUGGCACUCCCAAAGAAAAGAUAAAGUCAAAUCUGGCUGGCCAGUUACAACUUCAGAGCUCUUUCAUAACUUUCUGAGGUUGUAGAUAAAUUGGACCUUCGCAGAAGACCGUGGCUGUGGACAAGUAAACAAUUCCUAUCAUACAUUUCUCACUGGAGGGAAAGUUAAAAGUUAGAUUCAAUAAAAGUGACCGCCAUGACUUAACUAAACCAUCCAGCAUCUCCUUGCCGACAGCCUGCCUUAUAUUUACAUGAAAGGAUUUCCUGCCAGUUUAUCAUCUUAGUCUUAAUACCUAGGCCUUUAUCCCCUCAUCUCUAUCCUACCAAUUGCCUGUCUUUUCAUUUUGCACAGAUGGAAUGGGCAAUUGAAGAAGUAAGGCAUCAUUACCUUCUUCUUUUUAAAGAUGUAGGGAGUGAGCACCAGGUUCUGUUCUCAGCAAACCUCUUUAAUCCUAGUGGGGUUGGUUAUAGCAACUUCAAGCCUACCUGACUCCAGUUUUCUCUUCCAAAUCAAUCUUUAAUCCUCAAAAAGGUUGAUUUGAUUGCACAGUCCUUGCUUACUGUAUUUCAAUGGUUCCCUAGGGUUUUCAUAUUAUAGCUGGAGUUCCUUAGCUUGGGAAAAAAAAUUCAUUUUAAGCCCCUUGACUCUCCUUUAUUUUUGUAUUUAACUUUUUAAAAUAAAAAAAUCUGAAAUAUCCUAACAUGUAGAAAUUUGCAGAAGAUCAUUCAUCUUUCUAAAAGCUAGCUUCCUCUAGUCAUCAUUUCCCACUCUAUGCACCAGCCAUGACUUGAGCCCCUAAAAUUUCUCUUGCUAUUUAACACUUCCAUGAUUGUGUCAAUCCUG
rnacentral:lncRNA from 10 species